UCCAUUUGAACUAAAACUCCAGUAUUGAUAACCUCUUUCCUGCUCUUUAAUUUCUGGGUCAAAAGUCAUGGCUGCAGUACCUCAGCUGACAUGUCAGAUUGACAGUAGGUGUAGUGGCACUGGAUGGUAUACAGCAUGGGGAUGUCUGAUGCCAUGUCGUUGUUCUGUCUGUAAUCAAGGAGUAUGUGUGUUCAGGAGGUCAUUUAACUCAUUGUAACAAAGAAGGUGGUCCUUAAGAUAAUUUGGACUAUCCCAGACCACCAAGGCCUCUGACUUGUUUUACUAUUCAUUACAAAGGGGGAAGGACUAAUUGGACAUAAUGGAGUUAAGUUUUUUUUCUUCAUUUACCUGCAAUUAAUGUCAGUGUAAUUAAGGAUUUGUGAUGUGACCAUGUUGGAUUGUGAGGAAUUAGAUGGUGUUGACAAUAGUAUCAACUCACAAAGCGCUUCCUGUCCAUCCCUGCUCUUGCUCAGACUGAUGUUAUUUUUCUCAUUUUCCUUUUCGCCUCAUAUGCUAGUUUCAGUAAUAUUUUCCUUCUUUUUCUUUAGUUUCAUAGAUUCAUGUUAAUCCCCUCCAUAUUUCAAAGCUUUCAAAAAAAGUGGAAGCAUUCUUCCACUUUUUUUCCUCCUUUGAUUAUACUUAUGAAUUAAAAUAUUUUUUUGGAAGGGAAAUUAGCAUACUUGAAGUUUAAAGUCAAAGGUCUGUUGUACCUGACUUUAAAGUGUUGAAUGUUCUGAGUCCAAAACAACGUUGCAUGUUUUACUUUAAGGUGAAUGCCAAAUUAUCGUCAGUAACUAAUAAUUAAUAUGUUAUAAAGUCAGUUUUUAUAGUGUGAAAGUCCAAUUCCUAAACAUAACUGAAUAAUUUAAUUCUGAUUUUUAUUAUUAAAUUGAAUUAGAUUAAUACUUAUAAGCAUAACAAAUACAGAAUAAAUUAUACAUAUGCUGACCUUUUCUUGCAGUAGCAUAAUCACACAGUAAAAAGUCAACUUUUAAUUUUAGUGUAUUUAUUCACUAGGGAAACAAUCACAGAUAUAUUUUUACAUUACCCAAGCAUCAGUAGUCCUCCUGUAAGGUUUUGUACACCUCUCUCUUGCCUUUAGGGUAGCUCUUAGUCAUCGGCUAUAACAUUUCAUAAAGUUGGAGCAAAUACCGAAAGGUUUUGCCCAUUCCUUUUUUGUUCAGUGUCUUUGUGUCAUUUAGUGGGCCUGCCUUAUGUACUCCUCUCUUCAGGUUAUCCUGAAGGUCUUCGAAAGGAUUUAGGUCUGGGGAGUCAGAAUGCCAUGAAAAAGAGCAAAGCCAGGGAGGAGACAUGACACCAGAGGCCAGCAGCAGGGAUGAUGAUGCAUCGUCUUAUCAGGUCUGGUCGAUCCAUGCUGGGUGUGGCCGGUGAAUCUGAACUCAGCUUUUUGAUCAGCGUCUGAUGAUCUGGACACUGUAAAUCUAUAAAGACAAACAGAAGAAUUCUGGAAGUGGGUAAAUGUCAUUUUACUGUGCAUCCAUGGAUACAUUAGAGCUGAUUAUGGGCCGCAACUUUGAUAUAUGUGAAUUGUGAAAUCCCUUCAUGUCAGGGGGACUAAAUACAAACAUACUGAACAGAUAAUGAUGGUCUUUUUGAUGUGCACCUCCAUGACUCAUAUGAGCUUAAAGUUUACUCCACUUUUUGGCAUUUUGAGUGCUUGAAUUAUGUGACCAUGCAAUACAUCUCGGACUCAACAUAAUGUCUUUUAAUUUCUUCUCUGGAACCAGAUAAAUGACAACAUUAACUGAAAAAGAGUGGGUGGACGGCCACGGUUUGAACUAUCCAAUUUUCCAGUCCCACAGUGGUAUUGUGGAUCUGGGACAAUGACACCCAGAUCCACAGCGUCCCUGCCAACACAAACCCUACUUCUGAACAGAGCCACCUCCCUCCCCACAAUCCUUUGCUCUGAGUAGGGCAAGGAGAGGAGGUGGGGGACCAAAGGGAGGCCGACGAAAGUCUGAACAGGCCAGAGGAGCGACACACCGGCGCCAUGGCGAUCCCUAAGACAACUUAUCUCCUCUCUCUCAGUGAUAGCGCCUGUCAAAAUAACAGCCAAGAUACACACCCAGCAAGGAACUGGUUAACUUGUAGGCCGUCCAGCUAGAAUGCCGGGGUCUUUGUCUUUCCUACACGGCUCACUUGGGCUUGAUAAUGUCACUGCUGUCUUGGCACCCAAUUAUAUUUAACAGUAAUACAUAAAGGUACAGAUGACCCUCAGCAUCACUAUCUUCUCUUAUUAAGAAAAAAAGAAUUUUAUUGUAUUUCUGUUAUGAAGAGGUGGGACAUUUGUAUGUAAUAUAUGAAAUGAAAAUAUAUUAAUGGCUAGAUUAUGCUUUAAAGCAUAGCAUCUGACUGGUGGUUGUACAUUCAAGUCUUCUAGUAAUUAUAGCUCUCAGAUUUGCUCAAGAAGCUUCUCAGUGAUAAUAGCCAGAUAUGUUCACAUCAUACAACACUGGGGCAAGAAUGCAAAUGGGAAAAAAAGAAAGAUAAACAAAACAAGCCUAACAAAUAAAAAAUUCUGAGUUGUGAAAAUGAGUCUUUGUUUUCAUCAGUUGCAUAACUGCAGAGUGGAUUAACUGGAUAACUGGAUUUGAACACGAUAGAUCUUUUGGCGCCCUCUUGUGGUUGUUCCGCUCCUGUUUUAAAUGUCAUCAGAAAGUGCCACAAUUUAAUUUAUUAUAAAGUUAUUUUUAAAUAUAUAUAUGUGUGUUACCAUUUAUUUAAGUAAAGAUAGAAAUGCUAUUUAUUUAACAAACACAUCGAAUAUGACUACAUCAAUAAAAAAA